GGUUACCCCAGUUAAUGGACAGGAAGGGGAAAAGUUCAAUCAGAAAGAGAAACCUAGGUGAAGCAAGACACAGCUGUAAGGUUAAUGUCUCCUUUUGUCCUUCCAUCUGUAACACAGGAGAGGGAAUGUGUGACACCUCCCAUAUGUGUAAAAGCAUCCCUGAAGAAGACAAGUGGUGAGGCAGCACUGAGGGCUUCUCUGAUUUCUGUGCUGAGAACACAGGAUGCAGCAACUGACAC